UCUCGUAUUAAUAUAUCCCAUCAAGAAAAAGAAGAUAAACAAAUCGAUCGGAGUGUGGGUGUGUAGGAGGAAAGGGGAGAGGGAUAGAUAGAUCGAAAACUCAGCUAUUCAAAGCGGAGCAUAGAAAGGUCGUGAUAUAAUAAGACAAACUCUUUUGACUUUCAAAGUUGUGAACAACUUAACAUAACUAAGCAAAGACACAAACAUACUAAAAACAAGACUUCUUAAGAAAAGAAAAAAAACAACAUCAAGAAAAUCAACAAUGAUUUUCAAGAACCAAAAAUUUUGGUUUUGAGAUUAAACAUUGUUCAUUUUCUUGUCCAUGUCUAGCACGAAUCGAUACUUGACAUCGUUUUUAACAAGGCGUUCCAACGCUGUAUUCACGUAGUCCAUUGCUACGACUUCAACAUCUGGUGUUAUGUUAUGCUUUGCUGCAAAAUCUAACAUUUCUUGAGUCUCUUUCAUUCCUCCCAUUGCACUCCCAGCAAUUGUCUUCCUUCCCAAGAUUAAUGGAAAUACUGGCAUUUCAAGUGGUUGAGGAAUUGCACCAACAAUAAUAUGUUUACCAUGAGGCUUUAACAUACCAAGAUAUGGUAAAAGUGGAUGAACUGCUGAAACUGUAUCAAUAAUUCCAUCCAAUGAACACAUUGCACCCUGAAUUUGCUGAGGAUCGUUGCUGAGUAAAAACUUAUCUGCACCGAGAUGUUGAAGUGCUUCCUCUUUUUUACUAGGAGAAGUACUUAUAACUGUGACAUUAGCCCCAAAAGCCUUAGCAAAUUUGACAGCCAUAUGGCCCAGCCCACCAAGGCCCACAACACCAAUGUUCAAUCCAGGCUUAUCAAGCCCAUAAUAUUUCAUUGGGCUAUAAGUUGUUAUACCAGCACAUAACAAUGGUGCAGCUUCCAUCGGUAAAUUCUCCGGCCAACGGACCGCGAAAUGCUCAUCGACUACCAUGAUAUCGGAGUAACCACCGUACGUCAUCGUUCCGUCGAUGUACAUUUGACCAUAUGCUUGUAUUUGUUGAGGACAAUAAUUUUCAAGAUCAUUUGAACAAUUGUCACAUUUUUUACAUGAUCCUACUAGACAUCCAACACCAACUUUGUCACCAAUUUUAAAUUUACCAACUUUGUUACCAACUUCUGUCACCACACCCACAAUCUCAUGCCCUGGUACAACAGGAUAUCUGGUGACUCCCCAUUCAUUCUUGAGAAAGUGAAGAUCUGUGUGGCAAACUCCACAAUACAAGAUCUUGAAUUGCACAUCUUUCUCCCCAGUAGCCCUUCUUGAAAAGUUGAAAGGAGUAAGAACACCAGAAGUAUCUCUAGCUGCCCAUCCAAAAGCCUUAAUUGGAUGUUCUUCUUCUGGGGAUUUUGCCAUUUCUCCUAAAUAAAUAAAUAUAACACAAAGAUAUAUAAAAUAUUAAAAUUAUG
rnacentral:misc_RNA from 1 species